ACCCUGGUAGUCCACGCCGUAAACGAUGUCGACUUGGAGGUUGUGCCCUUGAGGCGUGGCUUCCGGAGCUAACGCGUUAAGUCGACCGCCUGGGGAGUACGGCCGCAAGGUUAAAACUCAAAUGAAUUGACGGGGGCCCGCACAAGCGGUGGAGCAUGUGGUUUAAUUCGAUGCAACGCGAAGAACCUUACCUGGUCUUGACAUCCAGAGAAUCCUGCAGAGAUGCGGGAGUGCCUUCGGGAACUCUGAGACAGGUGCUGCAUGGCUGUCGUCAGCUCGUGUUGUGAAAUGUUGGGUUAAGUCCCGCAACGAGCGCAACCCUUAUCCUUUGUUGCCAGCACGUGAUGGUGGGAACUCAAAGGAGACUGCCGGUGAUAAACCGGAGGAAGGUGGGGAUGACGUCAAGUCAUCAUGGCCCUUACGACCAGGGCUACACACGUGCUACAAUGGCGCAUACAAAGAGAAGCGACCUCGCGAGAGCAAGCGGACCUCAUAAAGUGCGUCGUAGUCCGGAUUGGAGUCUGCAACUCGACUCCAUGAAGUCGGAAUCGCUAGUAAUCGUGGAUCAGAAUGCCACGGUGAAUACGUUCCCGGGCCUUGUACACACCGCCCGUCACACCAUGGGAGUGGGUUGCAAAAGAAGUAGGUAGCUUAACCUUCGGGAGGGCGCUUACCACUUUGUGAUUCAUGACUGGGGUGAAGUCGUAACAAGGUAACCGUAGGGGAACCUGCGGUUG
rnacentral:rRNA from 1 species